rnacentral:rRNA from 1 species
GACGAACGCUGGCGGCGUGCCUAAUACAUGCAAGUAGGACGCAGUUGCGAACGGGUGCGUAACGCGUAGGUAACUGUCUCUUAGAGGGGGAUAACUAUUGGAAACGAUAGCUCAUACCGCAUACUAGUAGAUGGACCUGCGUUGUAUUAGCUAGUAGGUAGGGUAAUGGCCUACCUAGGCAACGAUACAUAGCCGACCUGAGAGGGUGAUCGGCCACACUGGUACUGGGACACGGCCCAGACUCCUACGGGGAGCAGCAGUAAGGGUUGUUCGGCAAUAGGGGGAACCCUGUCCGAGCAACGCAGCGUGAGAGAAGGAGUUAUUCGGAUCGUAAGGCUGUGUUGUUAAGGAGGCAGUACUUAACCAGGAAGGGACGGCGAACUACGUGCCAGCAGCCGCGGUAAUAC